rnacentral:ncRNA from 1 species
GGUUUGGUCCCAGCCUUUCUAUUAGCUGUCAGUAAAAUUACACAUGCAAGUAUCCGCACCCCAGUGAGAGUACCCUUGAAGUCAGCAUAUGACAUAAAGGAGUCGGCAUCAAGCACACCAAUAAGGUAGCUAAUGACGCCUUGCUAAGCCACACCCCCACGGGAAACAGCAGUGAUAAAAAUUAAGCCAUGAACGAAAGUUUGACUAAGUUAUACUGAUAAAGGGUUGGUAAAUUUCGUGCCAGCCACCGCGGUCAUACGAUUAACCCGAGUUAAUAGACAUACGGCGUAAAGAGUGUUUAAGAAUUUUUUCCUAAAAACUAAAGCUAAGACUUAACUAAGAUGUAAAAACCUACAGUUAAAGUAAAAAUAAGCUACAAAAGUGGCUUUAAAAAUUUUCCGAUUACACGAUAGCUAAGAUCCAAACUGGGAUUAGAUACCCCACUAUGCUUAGCCCUAAACUAAGACAGUCCUACAUACAAGACUAUCCGCCAGAGAACUACUAGCAACAGCUUAAAACUCAAAGGACUUGGCGGUGCUUUAUAUCCCUCUAGAGGAGCCUGUUCUAUAAUCGAUAAACCCCGAUACACCUCACCAACCCUUGCUAAUUCAGCCUAUAUACCGCCAUCUUCAGCAAACCCUUAAAAGGAAUAGUAGUAAGCACAAGUAUAAGCAUAAAAACGUUAGGUCAAGGUGUAGCUUAUGGGUUGGGAAGAAAUGGGCUACAUUUUCUACAUCUAGAAUAUUACGAAAACCUUUAUGAAAUUAAAGGCCUAAGGAGGAUUUAGUAGUAAACUAAGAAUAGAGUGCUUAG